rnacentral:rRNA from 1 species
UACGUAGGGUGCAAGCGUUGUCCGGAAUUAUUGGGCGUAAAGAGCUCGUAGGCGGUUUGUCGCGUCGAAUGUGAAAACCCGGGGCUCAACCCCGGGAGGCGGGCGGAUACUGUCGGGCUAGAGGCCGGAAGAGGCGAGUGGAAUUCCUGGUGUAGCGGUGAAAUGCGCAGAUAUCAGGAGGAACACCAAUGGCGAAGGCAGCUCGCUGGGACGGUACUGACGCUGAGGCGCGAAAGCGUGGGGAGCAAACAGG